rnacentral:misc_RNA from 1 species
AUUUAAAGCGGAACUUGGGUUUCACUGAUCUGAAUGAACCUGUCCAGAUUGCGGAAGCAUCUGGUACAGCUUCUGUUGAUAUUCUAGGCAAUUUUAUCUCCUUUAGAGAAGGGAUACAAAGGAUAGAUCUUUCUGCAAGUUCUUGUUCAGGUUUUUUGGCUAAGGAAACUUCCCAAAGCCCACCUAAAGAAAAGUAUGAGGGAGUUAACGCACGUGAUCAGCAUUUGGAGGAUGAAAAGAGACAAAAGGGAGGGUCACCUUUCACUUUUAACCCUGGCCAAACUACAAGCAAAAAAAGUCCUCAGAAUGAAGGUUUUAAGUGUGAUUAUUUGCCUGCAAUAUGUGAAUCAUCACAAGUUGGAUGCCAGAAAGCCCAAGAGCCGGAUCAGAACAGGAGGGAGAAACCAACAAGGAAGACAAUUUUUGGUGCGGAAAUCUCUGAAACCAAUCAUGAUGCAUCUGUUGUAGCUUCAGAUACUCUACAGCCACUCAUUCCUCAAUCAAGUGUUGCUAAUUCUGAGUCAUCCUCC